rnacentral:sRNA from 1 species
CAUAGUGGUUUGAAGAAAAGCAGCAGCAAUUUGAGAAUCUGGAUCAGCAACUUAGGAAACUUCACGCCAGUGUUGAAGCCUUGGUCUGUCAUAGAAAAGAACUUUCAGCCAACACAGCUGCCUUUGCUAAAAGUGCUGCCAUGUUAGGUAAUUCUGAGGAUCAUACUGCUUUAUCUAGAGCUUUGUCUCAGCUUGCAGAGGUUGAGGAGAAGAUAGACCAGUUACAUCAAGAACAAGCUUUUGCUGACUUUUAUAUGUUUUCAGAACUACUUAGUGACUACAUUCGUCUUAUUGCUGCAGUGAAAGGUGUGUUUGACCAUCGAAUGAAGUGCUGGCAGAAAUGGGAAGAUGCUCAAAUUACUUUGCUCAAAAAACGUGAAGCUGAAGCAAAAAUGAUGGUUGCUAACAAACCAGAUAAAAUACAGCAAGCUAAAAAUGAAAUAAGAGAGUGGGAGGCGAAAGUGCAACAAGGAGAAAGAGAUUUUGAACAGAUAUCUAAAACGAUUCGAAAAGAAGUGGGAAGAUUUGAGGCAUGUAUAAUAAUUUUGUAUUUAUCUUAAUAACAUGGUCACAUUUUGCUGCAGUUUUGUGGUAAAGUUGAAUUUAGCUUUCUACUAACGGACUUUUUAAAAUGUACUUCAACAGAAAGAACGAGUGAAGGAUUUUAAAACCGUUAUCAUCAAGUACUUAGAAUCACUAGUUCAAACACAACAACAGGUAAGCCAUUUUUGUUUAUAACUUAAACUUCUAGAAUUUGUUUUUGGUAUACUUUCUUAUUUUAAAAAGAUGAUUAAUGAACUGGGCAUUUAAACUCAAGAAUAAG